rnacentral:lncRNA from 1 species
CAGAAGAUACCCUUUUUUCUUCUAACUUUGUUAAGUUAACUUUUACUAAAUCCUCUACAAUACAUCUAUAAGACUCUAAAUCAUCCGAAUCAAGCAGUGUGGGCUGGUUCUCUCCAGAUAUUCUAACACUAUGGGACCUGCGAAGCUGAACCCUUAAGCUGCAAUAAAUUUAACACGCAAGGUGGAAAACAACCAGUUAGAUGCUGACAUGUGUGUCUUUUCUCAAGGGAUGAGAACAAACUGUGAGAAACUUUGUUACUUUUGUUAACAGUCACUCUAUUUCUAAUUUUAUACAACACCGCCAUGUUAUAGAUAAAGUCAGGAAUAACCUUUGCUAAAUUCAUUUAAGAAUUAAUACUCAAAAAGUAGUGAAUGCAAGAGAGGCCCACAACAAAAUAGAAUUUUUA